AAAAAAGUCCAAUAGAAUUACAAUAGAAAUAAUUGUAACAAUACGAUAAAUUUUAUUGUAUUUACAAUAAUCUCUAUUGUUGCUCACAAAACAAUUAAGAAUAUUGUUUCCCACCAUAAAUCCUAUUGUAAAUGGCAGUUUUACAAUAAAAAAUAGGGGUUGUUAGUUACCGUAACAAUAAAAAAAUCGUUUUUUUCUCGAACAAAUUUUUGCCAUUACUAUAGAAUUUAUUGUUAUUCUAUUGUCAACAUUUUUCUGUCAAUAGAUUUUAUUGUAAGUUUAUUGGAACAACAAUAAGGCAAUUUAAUUGGUACAAUAGAAGAACAAUAGAAUUGAAUGUUCAUCAAUAAAAUGUAUUGUAAUUUUAUGAUAUUUUAAUGUAAUUCUAUUGUAUUUUCUAUUCGGGCGGUGCCCGCUAGAGCCCGAAAUAUUCAUGAAUUUCUCGCGAAAGAAAAUUCCACUGUUUUUAUUUUGUUAUUAUAGUUAUUCCAAGGGAAGGUCUUCCAGGAAUGCCUCAGAAGGUUCCUUUAGUAAUUGUUCAGUAUGUUCUUCAAGUAGUUCCUCCAGAAAAGCUCCAGCAAGUUUAUCUUUUUUGUCGUUCAUCAAAAUGAUUUGUUUUGGAAAUUCAUCUUGGAUCCCUCCGGGAAUUCCCCACACUGGUAAAACUGCAAUGAUUUAUUGAAUUUGAUUCUACAUAUAGAUUAUAUAAAAGAAUCAAAACAUAAAUUCAAUUUGUGGUUUCGUUGCUCUUCAUUUAUAUCGCACAUAUUGGUUAUGUGUGAUAGCACUUAGUCAAAAUUCAUUAAUCUUCACACAUAGAACGAAUACAAAGCUGGCAAUUGAAGAUCAGAGCUAAAAAAAUGGCGUCCGAGGCAGUCUGCGAAAAUUUUGUUGCAGAGGUUAGCUCACUUCGGAUUGUUUUCAAGCAGUUUUAUAAUUCUUUGAAGGGGUAAGUUUUAUUAAGCUUGUUUUAAAGUUGGUUCAUAACUCAAUGUUAUUUAUAGUAACGAUCUCGGUAACGAUACAAUAUUGCGGCAUCCUUAUUCGAUAAUAAUCUUCCUCUUGCUCUUCCGGAGGCAGUGACGAAAUCUUUCGACAGGAACAGGCAAUACGGCGUGGCGUAAUCCAACGAACAUAUUAUGACAUCGAAGAAAAAUUCGAAAAUGUAUUUUCCCAAUGCGGAUAUCGGAACUUUAUCCCAAUGCAAAGACGCGAUUCCUGAAGCCUCCAGCAAGUAUCAUUUAAAAAGUGUGCAAUUGAGCUUGGCAACUCCAGCUAAAGUAUGUGCUGCACACUGAAGGUUUCCAGUCUGGGAACUGUUAUUGGAUCGGAGGAGCAGCAGUACUUGCAGUCGAAGACUUGGAGUCCACUGUCUUGGGGAGCGACGAGGUAACAACAGAAGAUCGAUCGGAACAUCCAUCUGUACUCAUCUAUAAUUCAACUAUACCAUGUUAAUGCAUAUAUAGAAGAUUAUUAUUUAUAAUAUAAAUGGUUUUUCUUAUUUCUAUACAUA